rnacentral:rRNA from 1 species
AUUGAACGCUGGCGGCAUGCCUUACACAUGCAAGUCGAACGGCAGCGCGGGAGCAAUCCUGGCGGCGAGUGGCGAACGGGUGAGUAAUAUAUCGGAACGUGCCCAGUAGUGGGGGAUAGCCCGGCGAAAGCCGGAUUAAUACCGCAUGAGACCUGAGGGUGAAAGCGGGGGAUCGCAAGACCUCGCGCUAUUGGAGCGGCCGAUAUCAGAUUAGCUAGUUGGUGGGGUAAAGGCCUACCAAGGCAACGAUCUGUAGUUGGUCUGAGGGGACGACCAGCCACACUGGGACUGAGACACGGCCCAGACUCCUACGGGAGGCAGCAGUGGGGAAUUUUGGACAAUGGGCGCAAGCCUGAUCCAGCAAUGCCGCGUGCAGGAAGAAGG